UGAAGUCAGAUCCAGUCUUUUCCUUGCACCCAGGCAUGAGACUGUGUCACCUCAGGGUCACCCAUUUGUGGUGUGAUGCUGCUGAAGUGCCACCAGAACCUGAUGUGACCCUGGCCAGAUUAUAGCAGGAAAAAAAUCCCAAACUGUCCUGGGCUUGAAAGCAACACAAAAUCCUCCAGCUACUGAAUUCAGGCGUCCCAGUUUACUCUGAUUGUCCUGAUUUUGUAUUUUUUUCUGUAUUCAACAACUUUCCAUUGGAUGUAGAAGUGAUCUGAGAUGGAUAGGGGAAUACUGAAGAAUCUGGAAACACCACACAUCAGCACUUGCUGGAAGCACUGGAUGUAUCCCCACUGCUUUCUCCCCCAUUCCUGUGGAGGAGGAGGAGGAUGGAUAGCACAUCCAGCCUUCAGGUGGCUGCUGAUAUGACAUGUACAACUUCAGACAUUUAUGUGAGCACCCAGAAUAACAGGAUAAAGUUGGCAACAACCUGAGGUGAUCUUGCCCAUAAACCACCUAACCACUGCCCUGCAGUUUCUAAGAGUUUUUGCCACUGUGGUGCACAGAAGUGGAAUGGAAACAAAAUACAGAGGCAAUGUCCACCAAAUCUUGGUGGUUGAGGAACUGCUGAACACCUUCAUGGACAGGACUGGGAUACAGAAGAGCUUCUUCAACAGGAUGUGACUGGUUAGACUGAACAUGAGAGCAGAGGUUUCCCCAGGAUCUUCAGAUGUGAGCCUCAAGCUUUGUGCAAAACAUCAAGAUCAGCAACUUCCAUUGGAGGGGGAACACUUGGCCAUCACAAUACACAGGACUGUGAUGUACAAAGCAACCCUGAUGCAAAUUUACUUAGCAUCAAGGAUCCCUAGGAAAAAAAAAAAAAAAUAGCAGCAAGAAAAAGACUUUUCAAAGCAGCUUUGAUGGGCCCUGGCACCGCGUGUGAAAGUCUAGCUCAGUUCUAAGACUGCCAGGAUGAGGAAACUGAGACACUGUGAAAUUAAAAGCUUUGGGAAAUUAGUGCACAGUAAAUUACGGUGCGAAUUUACUGUGUACCAACCACCCUGCACAAACUCAUCAUGUGGACUGGCAAAGAAAAAGGAUUAAAUUCCCUUAAAUUAUCUCACAUUUGCCAUGGACAGACAGUUACCAUGGAUCAGCUGAAAUGCAGCAACUUCUCAACCCACAGCAAGUCACUCGUGCAGUGAAUCCCCCCAUCAGAGAGGAGCUGUUCACAGGGGCUCUGCUACUACUCUGCUCCAACU